rnacentral:rRNA from 1 species
GAAGGCAGCAGGCGCGUAAAUUGCCCGAAUCCUGACACAGGAAGGUAGUGACAAGAAAUAACAAUACAGGGCUACAUCUAGUCUUGUAAUUGGAAUGAGUACAAUUUACAUCUCUUCACGAGGAUCAAUUGGAGGGCAAGUCUGGUGCCAGCAGCCGCGGUAAUUCCAGCUCCAAUAGCGUAUAUUAAAGUUGUUGCAGUUAAAACGCUCGUAGUCGGAUUUUCGGGGCGGGCCUGCCGGUUUGCCGAUGGGUAUAUACUGGUGGGUGCGUCCUUCCUUCCGGAGACCGCGCCUCCUCUUAACUGAGCGGGCGUGGGAGACGGAUCGUUUACUUUGAAAAAAUCAGAGUGUUUCAAGCAGGCAUUUCGCUUUUGCAUGGAUUAGCAUGGGAUAAUGAAAUAGGACUUUGGUGCUAUUUUGUUGGUUUCGAGCACCGAAGUAAUGAUUAACAGGGACAGUCAGGGGCACUCGUAUUCCGCAGAGAGAGGUGAAAUUCUCAGACCCGCGGAAGACGAACCACUGCGAAAGCAUUUGCCAGGGAUGUUUUCACUGAUCAAGAACGAAAGUUAGGGGAUCGAAGACGAUCAGAUACCGUCGUAGUCUUAACCAUAAACGAUGCCAACUAGGGAUUCCGAGAUGUUGUAUUUGACUCUCGGAGCACCUUACGGGAAACUAAAGUCUUUGGGUUCCGGGGGGAGUAUGGUCGCAAGGCUGAAACUUAAAGGAAUUGACGGAAGGGCACCACCAGGAGUGGAGCCUGCGGCUUAAUUUG